GAAGGUAUAGUUCAAGUGGUAGAGCAGAUGCCUAUCAUACAUAAGGUCCUGGGUUCAAUCCCCUGUACUUCCU
rfam:Camelus ferus unplaced genomic scaffold scaffold803, whole genome shotgun sequence.